CUGAGCUGGACCCAGUGUGCAGGGGAAGAGGAAGUCCCAGGCUGGUCCCCCCCCGCAGCCCAGCCAGGACUAGCAACUGAGCCGGCGCAGAGCCCCCCCGUGUCAGUCACUAACUCGCCUGGGCUGGACACCGCCGCCCCGUCCCGCCACCGCCGGGCAGCCGGGAGGAGAAAUCUGGGCGCCUCCCCCCGUCAUCUCUGCCCGUGUCCAGUCUGGGGGCUGGGACUAGCCCCGGGCCCGGCUCUGCCGGCACCAGCUCCGGCCCGGAGACCCAGGCUGCAGAAUAACAUCCACAUUUUGCUCCGGAUCGUCCCAUCCUCCAAGGGGAAAGGAAAUGGCAUCAGUGGAGCCGGCUCAGGGGGCGGUGACCUUCGAGGAGCUGGCUGUGUACUUCACGGAGGG